rnacentral:rRNA from 1 species
UACGUAGGGACCGAGCGUUGUCCGGAAUUAUUGGGCGUAAAGAGCUCGUAGGCGGUCUGUUGCGUCGGCUGUGAAAACCCGGGGCUCAACCCCGGGCCUGCAGCCGAUACGGGCAGACUAGAGUUCGGCAGGGGAGACUGGAAUUCCUGGUGUAGCGGUGAAAUGCGCAGAUAUCAGGAGGAACACCGGUGGCGAAGGCGGGUCUCUGGGCCGAUACUGACGCUGAGGAGCGAAAGCGUGGGGAGCGAACAGG